rnacentral:rRNA from 1 species
CCUACGGGUGGCAGCAGUCGAGAAUCAUUCACAAUGGGGGAAACCCUGAUGGUGCGACGCCGCGUGGGGGAAUGAAGGUCUUCGGAUUGUAAACCCCUGUCAUGUGGGAGCAAAUUAAAAAGAUAGUACCACAAGAGGAAGAGACGGCUAACUCUGUGCCAGCAGCCGCGGUAAUACAGAGGUCUCAAGCGUUGUUCGGAAUCACUGGGCGUAAAGCGUGCGUAGGCUGUUUCGUAAGUCGUGUGUGAAAGGCGCGGGCUCAACCCGCGGACGGCACAUGAUACUGCGAGACGAGAGUACUGGAGGGGGAAGCGGAAUUCUCGGUGUAGCAGUGAAAUGCGUAGAUAUCGAGAGGAACACUCGUGGCGAAGGCGGGUUCCUGGACAUUAACUGACGCUGAGGCACGAAGGCCAGGGGAGCGAAAGGGAUUAGAUACCCCUGUAGUC